rnacentral:rRNA from 1 species
UUUGGUGACAAUGGCAAGGAGGUCACACCUGUUCCCAUGCCGAACACAGAAGUUAAGCUCCUUAGCGCCGAUGGUAGUC